GAGACCCCAAAUGCAAUCAGUGGCUCAUUCUGCCAGUCUCUGUGAAGACAUAUGGUAUGAGACAGUCCUCGCCCUGAAGAACUUACAGUUUAAAUAGACAAGACAAUAAUGAGACACAUUAGCAUUAUUAUCACAUUGUCCCAGGUGGGAAAUUGAGUCACAAAGAUGAAAAGCAACAUGUUCAAAAUCACAUCUACACCAUACGGUGAAGGAUGGUUCAGACCUCUCUGAAUUAACAAGUGUUUAAGAUGAUAAAUUGGAAAGGAGUGCUGACUUGCCAAUUUCAGUCCAGAAGCCUUGCACCAUCUUGGCCAAGACUACAAGCCCAGAAAGUACAAGGAAGUAAAUUCUGAAAAAGUG
rnacentral:lncRNA from 1 species